CAGCACUUCAGUGAGGAUAAGAAGAACCAUAAAACCUGCAAGUAUGGGAGAAAGGUUUGAAAGGCUAUGUAGUUUGCUAGUUGCACAGCAUUAGAGUCCCAAUAGAGUGUAGAAAGAUCACCCAAGAAUCAGCAAAGCUUAAAGUUAGGAGAUUCUACAGAGCAGAAGACGUAUCAAAAUCAAAAUCAUACAGUUCUGAUGUAAAAGAUGUAAGAGCUGUUUUUAUAGAACAGCAGCAGUGUGGUUGGCAUCUAUUAUUUCCCAACUUUUGUUGUAUUUAUUUGGACGUUUUGUAGCUACUUUCUCAAAAAAGUAUCGCA
rnacentral:lncRNA from 1 species